GGACCCGACUGCUAUUUGGGUGAGAAUAAGCCAUGCGAGUCGAAUGGGAUACCUAAAUAUUCCAUGGCGAACUGCUCAGUAACACAUGAUCAACUUGCCCUAUAGAGAAAAAUAACCUCGGGAAACUGAGGAUAAUAUUUCAUAGUUGAAAAGGCUUGGAAAAGUUUUUCAAUGAAAGGGGUAAAAUAAAUGGUUUUUAUCUGCUAUAGGAUAGGAUCGUGGUCGAUUAUGGUUGUUGGUGAGGUAACGGCUCACCAAGCCGAUAAUCGAUAGGGGCCGUGAGAGCGGGAGCCCCGAGAUGGGUACUUAGACAGCGACCCAGGCCUUACGAGGCGCAGCAGGCGCGAAACCUCCGCAAUACACGAAAGUGUGACGGGGUUACCCAAAGUGUUCAUAUUUGGACUGUGGUAGGUGAGUAAUGUCCCCUACUAGAAAGGAGAGGGCAAGGCUGGUGCCAGCCGCCGCGGUAAAACCAGCUCUUCAAGUGGUCGGGAUAAUUAUUGGGCUUAAAGUGUCCGUAGCCGGUUUAGUUAGUUCCUGGUAAAAUCGGGUAGCUUAACUAUCUGUAUGCUAGGAAUACUGCUAUACUAGAGGGCGGGAGAGGCCUGAGGUACUACAGGGGUAGGGGUGAAAUCUUAUAAUCCUUGUAGGACCACCAGUGGCGAAGGCGUCAGACUGGAACGCGCCUGACGGUGAGGGACGAAAGCCAGGGGAGCGAACCGGAUUAGAUACCCGGGUAGUCCUGGCCGUAAACGAUGCAUACUAGGUGAUGGCACGGCUAUGAGCCGUGUCAGUGCCGUAGGGAAACCGUUAAGUGUGCCGCCUGGGAAGUACGGUCGCAAGGCUAAAACUUAAAGGAAUUGGCGGGGGAGCACCACAAGGGGUGAAGCCUGCGGUUCAAUUGGACUUAACGCCGGGAAACUUACCAGGGGAGACAGCAGAAUGCAGGUCAGGUUGACGACCUUACCUAACGAGCUGAGAGGAGGUGCAUGGCCGUCGCCAGUUCGUGCUGUGAGGUAUCCUGUUAAGUCAGGCAACGAACGA
rnacentral:rRNA from 1 species